rnacentral:ncRNA from 1 species
CGGGAUACAAGUCCCGUGUAAAAGGAAUGUAGCCCUCUUUGGGCCGAACCUUAGG